UUGGCUGUGUGACAUUUUGUGGAUGCUGACGUCAGAAAUAGAAUGUUCAUGUUUUUGUACACGGGCUAGGACACGGGCAUGUCAUGGCCGUAUGAAGGACAUGGGCCAGGGAUACAAGCGUGUGCCAGGCCGUGUGAAAACCCUGUAGGUGUGCAAUUAGAAUUAAUUCCACAUGAGUGGAGGACACGGCCGUGUCCCUAUAUUGCUUAGGCUGUGUGAGCCACACGGGCCAUCAACAUGACCAUGUUGAAAUGGCCACACAGGUGUAACGCCCCCACGCCCGAGACCAUCACUGGAGUCGAGCUUGAGGGGUUACCGAACAUAAUUUAUCAAUUUAAGAACUUCAAAUCAUUUGUUUCUACAUUCACAGCUUUCUAGCUACU
rnacentral:lncRNA from 1 species